CCUACGGGAGGCAGCAGUGGGGAAUAUUGGACAAUGGGCGAAAGCCUGAUCCAGCCAUACCGCGUGUGUGAAGAAGGCCCUAGGGUUGUAAAGCACUUUAAGUUGGGAAGAAAAGUUAUUGGUUAAUACCCAAUGACCGUGACAUUACCAUCAGAAUAAGGACCGGCUAAUUCCGUGCCAGCAGCCGCGGUAAU
rnacentral:rRNA from 1 species